rnacentral:tRNA from 1 species
GGAGAGGUGCCUGAGUGGUUGAAAGGGGCACCCUGCUAAGGUGUUAGUUGCGCAAGCGACUCGGGGGUUCGAAUCCCCCCCUCUCCGCCA